AUGAAGGUAAAGGGACGUGGGUAGUGGGGGGAGCCGAGGGGCGACUUGAAAAUUAAACUGACCCCUCCUAAAUCCCAAGUAGAAGAGUCUAUGCGCACGAAAGAAACCAACACGCAAAGAAAACUAAAGCGCUGAUCAAAGAACAAUAGGGCCCCCGCCAGGGCAGAGGUUCCCUAGGCAACGAGGGAGAGAGGGAGGGGCCUCCAGAAGGGAGAGAGAGAAACCGGUUGCCCCAGGUUCGGUGAAGUCGGGGAGACCUCCCUCCGUGUCACCUCGACUUUCAAUAACAGUGGCCGCUAGGUGAUGCCCGAAGACAACCGAUGCCUGCAAAUGUCAGUCAGCACGGAAAAGAAUGUCCAAGGUACACCCUGGGAGACGGCAAGAGAAACAUUCACUCCGUGCUUUUUCUCUAUUUUUUUCAUCUUUUCCAUUUUACAAGAGAUGCUCAUUUCAACAACCAGACAGUGGAUGUGACAGGAGAAGUGUCAAGGCCAGGAGUUUGAGACCAGCAUGAGCAACCGAGCAACACAAUCCCUGUACUAAAAACGGAAAGAACCGACACAUGAGAAAUAUGACCUGAGCAUACUGUGCCCAAGAGUGUCGUCACAGCACUCUGGGAGGCCGAUGUGGGAGGAUCGCUGGAGCCUUAAAGUUUGACAUCACCUCGACAUGUGAGAUGACACCUGCAAUAAUAAUAAUCAUAGAAGUUUAAAAAGA